GAUUGAAGUGCAUUUGUCAACCUUUAUUUUAUUUUAUUUUAUUUUUUUGUUGUUGUGAUGUACAAGGAGAUGCUCCAAAUCUGAAAAAAUACAAUGAGACUUAUCAACAUCUAAUAACAAGCAAAGUUGGGGUUGAAUCCUAUCAGGCAGAUGAUGCUGUUCAUAAGCUCUUCUGCUGGCCAACCAGUCAGCCGGCUGGUGGUUGGCCUCCCUGUUUACAUGGGUAGCCUUAAAGAAGCUCCAGUCUUCUCUUAUAUUCACAAAUGUCCUUCAACAAUGGAUUAUAAUAAGCCCGAGUCCUGGGGAGUUCAGCUGUAACUGAAGGCAAUUGAAGGUUCUGUUUGUCUAUGAAACAGUCUGAAAUAUCAUGAAUCUCCCUAGGAUCUUCCACAGUACUACCAUCCUCCUUGUCCAUCCUAGUAAUUUUAUUAUAUUUGUGCCUCAUGAUUGUUGUUCUAUAGAAGAAUGUGGUGUUGGCAUACCAUUCCUUGUAUUAUAAUUAUAAGUUAAAUGUCUCAGAAUAAGUAUAUUUAUAUCCCGUUUAUAUUAUGAUGCAUUAUGUACAUGUAUAUUUAUGUACCUUUCAUAUGUGAUACAUUAUAAUGUAUGCAUAUAUGAUACACUAUAAUAUGCACAAAUAUAGUAUUUAUAUAUGUCAAUGCAUACUGAACUAUGUUCUUGUUGCAUGUGAAUGCAAUAUUUAUGUGUAUUUUUUUAUAUAAUUAGAAUUUAAAUAUAUGCUUGCAUACGCACAUACUGCAUACAUCAGUUUGUAUAUCCAUAUAUGUAUGUACGUAUGCAUGUAUGUAUAUAUGUGUGUGUAUGAUAUUUGAAUGUAAUGUGUGUAUGGUAUACAUGAAUGUUUGUAGAAAGCUUAUAAUCCAAAGACUGCCUAACUACAGCUUGACAUUUUUUUUAAAAUUAAAAUGCUGAAUGAAUUUCCAUUCAAAAAGAGGUUCUUUGGAAGCAUUUCCAUGUAAUGUAGAAGGUGAUGAAGAACUGAGUUAAGCACUCUUGGAGCAUAAGGUAAGAACAAUUUGCAUGCGCACAAACCUUUUUCGAUGAGACUGCCUGGCUUUUUACAGGCUUUAUGGCUCAUCUUGUCUUCAUUGCUUGCUUACGUUACCGGACAGUAUCCUCCCAUUUUAGACAUUAGUUGUUUGUUUUAGACCUAGUUAUGUAGUUCUUUUUGUAAUGAAAUGUGUACACCAUGAUUGUGUUGCUGUCCAGAUCUUGUAGAAUGUCUAGAUUUUUUGUAAUGCUUUUAAAAAGAAGUUUCUUGACAAAAAUCAAGCUGGUUCAACUCAACCAACUAGGUUUGCUGCUGCACGACAACCUGGGGAUAUUGCAAAGUCCCAUCCUCAAGACCUGAGUUCUCUCUUGAAGAAGGCAAUGGACAGAGCUCAUUGGUUGGGUCAGCGCAAAGUUGUGAAUGUUCAUCGUCUUAUCAUGCAUGGCACUUUGGAAGAGAAAGUCAUUAGCCUCCAGAAGUUCAAAGUCUGUUGCUAAUGCUGUCAUCAUUGCAGAGAAAGCUUGCCUGAAAGGAAUGAACACCAACCAGUUGCUUGAUCUAUUUACUUCUGCACCAACCGCCAGAAAGGGUAGUGUCCUUUCAAGCAGCUCCAAUGGCGACCUGGGUAAAGAUUCAAAAUCCAUGGUGGGUGGGAGGGGUUUGAAAGCCAUUCUAAGUGGACUUGAGGAACGCUGGGAUCAGUCGCAGUAUGCGGAUGAAUACAAUCUCAGCCAUUUCUUGGCGAAGCUUAAUGGCCAAGAAAUGGCCGAGUCUGGUUGCACAACAAUGUACAGUGUAGAUCGGAAGAGCGCGUCUGUCGGCCUCAUGUUUUGAUAUGCCAUCCUCGAUUUUUUUUGUUCUUUGUACAUGUUCAUUGUUUCAUUAAACUGGCUAACAUACAUGGGUGGUCUAACAAUUUUUUGAGAUGGCCGGGUCCUCCAAAGGACAGCAGUCACCCAGCAUGUAAUGGGUAUCGUCAAAUGUGUACAUUCGAGCAGUUUGUAUAUCCGUUCAGCUUUUAUGAUCAAUUAGCAGCUUUGUGGCCA